rnacentral:rRNA from 1 species
CACGUAGGGCGCAAGCGUUGUCCGGAAUUAUUGGGCGUAAAGAGCUCGUAGGCGGUCUGUUGCGUCCGCUGUGAAAACUCGGGGCUUGACCCCGAGCCUGCAGUGGAUACGGGCAGACUAGAGGUAGGUAGGGGAGAAUGGAAUUCCCGGUGUAGCGGUGAAAUGCGCAGAUAUCGGGAGGAACACCGGUGGCGAAGGCGACUUCCUGGCCUGUUCUUGACGCUGAGGCGCGAAAGCUAGGGGAGCAAACGGG